GAGGCUUUUAUUUUGGAUUCCAGCAUACAAGAGGUUCCACUCCCUCACUACUUGAUCCUCUGCCAUGGACACACAUGCACUCACCCACCCACCUUUUGGAUGUCAGUGGGUAGAUGCUGCCCUGUGAAGCUUUUGAACAUGUUUUCUCAACUCAUACACAGAUUGUUUUCUGCCAUAGUAGGCCUGCAGAUAUGUGUAGGAAUGUCUAUAUUUGCCUCUAUAUUUUCCUGUACUGUUAAUAGGACAAGCAUUGCCAUAAAGCACAGGGAUCGCUGGAGAAAUGACUGGAGCGUGGUCUUGGAGUCACCCUCAGUCCUGGGUGCCGCACCAGGAGCUGCUGUGAACCUGUUUGAUGACCAUUAUGAAUCUGAGUACAAAACAAACUGCCAAGUGCCACCUGAAGGCACCACAGCCUGGCCCUUGUCCCCUGCUCAGCCUUCAGAGUCACUCAGUAGGCACCGUGAGGCACAGGCUGGGAUUCCUUGUCACUCGGCCUUCCCAAGGCUGAACAUCAGUGUGGCUGAGUGAGCACCUGGGGGACUGCUGGGACUGUCAUUUCAGAAAAACUGCAGUGCUGUGUAAAGGACCAUGCUGCUGGAGGUGGGGUGGCUCAGCACAGCAGUUCCUCAGUCUGGUACGUGUGAUAACCAGCUAUCUGACAGGCUGCUGGAUUGUGCAAGGAAAGGGACACUUCAGUUAUGUGCUUCUACACAGCAAGGGCUGGUGUGUUUAUGUCCCAAAGUACCAUUUUUCAUGGAUGACUACUUUCUUUUCAAUUAAUGAAGUUUUGGAGACAUUUGAUUUCUUGGCAUUGCUAGGGUUAAUAAAUAGCUUCAAAUGCUACAAAUGAAUAGCUUCAUGCUACAAAUAUUACUUGAGCCUGGAGCCAAAAACUCUGCAGCACUGUUAAAUUCAUAAUGAAGUUCAAAGCACUGGGAGGUCUAAAAUUCUUUUGACAAAUAAUGGUGUGGGAGAAACAUAAUAGAAAAAAAUUCUACCUAAUGUCACCCAUUAAAAUACUUAAAAAGUGUGUGAAGGGUCUCAGACAUACAAGCAAUACAAAUGUCUUCCUCAUAGCCUCAGAUGGUCAGGGAGUCUGUAGCAGUGACUGGAAGACUAAGGACAUAUAUUCCAGUUCUGGCUGUGGCUGCUAGUCACAGGCCACCUUCAGAACAGAAGUAUUUAUUAAAUAUUUAAAACUGAGGGUAAGAUUAAAGCAAAUUCUUACAUUAAAAAAAAAAUCAACCAAACAUCAAAAGACAUAUACAUAAUACAGCACUAAUGGCAGUAGAAAAUGAAAUGGAGUAAGCAUUCCCAUAUUAAAAACCUGUUAAAACAGAACCUGUUAGAAAAAGGACUGUGUUCAUGCUGACAUGCAUAUAGAACUUGUAGUCCUUUUGUAAUCUGCCAGAACCAUUCCUCAACAUUGAAAGUAUUCAAAGCCAUUUUCCUCUUGUUGGUUAAUUUUUUAUGGCAUGGUUUUAGCACAGC